rnacentral:rRNA from 1 species
UAGGGAAUCUUCGGCAAUGGACGAAAGUCUGACCGAGCAACGCCGCGUGAGUGAAGAAGGUUUUCGGAUCGUAAAACUCUGUUGGUAGAGUAGAACGUUGGUGAGAGUGGAAAGCUCAUCAAGUGACGGUAACUACCCAGAAAGGGACGGCUAACUACGUGCCAC